UGUGGUGAUGAGGGCAAGAAGGAUACACCUGUAACCAUGCCGAACACAGAAGUUAAGCUUCUUAGCGCCGAUGGUAGUGGGGACUUUGUUCCUGUGAGAGUAGGUCGUUGCCACGC
rfam:Facklamia hominis CCTG 36813 genomic scaffold supercont1.1, whole genome shotgun sequence.